rnacentral:rRNA from 1 species
UACGUAGGGUGCGAGCGUUGUCCGGAAUUACUGGGCGUAAAGAGCUCGUAGGUGGUUUGUCGCGUUGUUCGUGAAAACUCACAGCUCAACUGUGGGCGUGCGGGCGAUACGGGCAGACUGGAGUACUGCAGGGGAGACUGGAAUCCUGGUGUUAGCGGUGGAAUGCGCAGAUAUCAGGAGGAACACCGGUGGCGAAGGCGGGUCUCUGGGCAGUAACUGACGCUGGAGGAGCGAAAGCGUGGGGAGCGAACAGG